rnacentral:rRNA from 1 species
AUUGAACGCUGGCGGCAGGCCUAACACAUGCAAGUCGAGCGGAGCGGCGGACGGGUGAGUAAUGCCUAGGAAUCUGCCUGUUAGUGGGGGAUAACGUCCGGAAACGGGCGCUAAUACCGCAUACUAUCAGAUGAGCCUAGGUCGGAUUAGCUAGUUGGUGGGGUAAAGGCCUACCAAGGCGACGAUCCGUAACUGGGCUGAGAGGAUGAUCAGUCAACCCGGAACUGAGACACGGGCCAGACUCCGACGGGAGGCAGCAGUGGGGAAUAUUGCACAAUGGGCGCAAGCCUGAUGCAGCCAUGCCGCGUGUGUGAAGAAGGCCUUCGGGUUGUAAAGCACUUUCAGCGGGGAGGCGUUACCCGCAGAAGAAGCACCGGCUAACUACGUGCCAGCAGCCGCGGUAAUAC